rnacentral:sRNA from 1 species
UAGCAGAACAUGCUGAAUUCCCGAGAGGGAAACGGGGGAACCGACUCAUGGGGUGAAUCCGCGCCGCACGGUGCGGACGGGCAAUCUCCUAAGCCCGAACCCGACAGCUAACUUCGUAAGCAUUUAGGAGACUGCUU